rnacentral:siRNA from 1 species
UCAGAUUAACCUAUGUGCUCAUCU